AGAAGAGUUUUAGACAUGCAGCAUGCACCGGAGAGAGGAGCUAAUAAGCUCAAGGCGUCCCGGAGCUGGACCGGGACAGCCAGAAGGAAUGCGGAGGGGGUGACAUUGUGUCCCCCCCCCCGCUGCUGUUGCUAAGCUGGCAGCCUGAGACAGAGCACAGGAGCUCUGA